UAGAUCCUACACUCUUUGAAGGGAAGAGAAGAUGUCAUUCCUAGCACAGGCUUGGUAUGCAGUAGGUACCCAAUACACGUUUGAGGAUAUGAAUGUGAUUCCAGAAGGAGGUGCCUUCGGUCUCCUCAUGAGAAGAAAACCCAGAGCAGCUGGACUGGAACCAGCUGUGAGGCAGCAAUGAGCAAGUGAGAGAUGCUGGCCCAGGAGCUCAGAACAAAAUGUGCUAGUCAAUGAACAAAAGUCAUGGUAGGCCCCUAAGGAGCUCAAGGCCCUGAACUUGGUACUGGGAGAAGACAGAGAAGGAGGGAGUCAAUCCUGGCCUUCAGGGAGUUUCUUCAGGAUACCUGAGGGGGUCAAACCUGUCCAAGGGAAGCCAGCCCCCAUGUUGUGGGGACGCUCAAGCAACCUAUGGAGAGGCCCAUGUGGGGUAGAAGUGAAGGCAUGUGUCAAAAACCAGCCCUGACUUGGUAGCCUUGUGAGCGAGCCACCCUGAAACCACAUCAUCAUCCAGCCCCAGCCAAGCCUUCAGCAAACUUGCCUUACCACCAAGGAGCUGGAAGGCGAAAAUUCUUGUGGCUUACAGAGAAAUUGCCUAGAACUGCCCGAACAGCCACAUUAAGCCAUUCCUAGAUUCCUGCCCUACAGAAACUGUGAGAGAUAAUAAUUGUUUACUGCUUUGAGGCAUCACACUUUGGGGUAAUUGUUAAACAGCAACAGGUAACUAACACGGGCGGGCAGACCUCUACUGGCUCAUGUGUCAGGAUUUGAUGAGAUUCUCCUUGACAUUUCUACUCUCUGUGUUGGGAAGUCCUUCAUCUUGAGAGAGGUAGACAGAAGCCCUGGUGCCUCCCUGUCCUCUGUAGAGCUGGGAACAGAGACUGGACAGCCACGUCUGCCUCUCUGGCUCUCAGCUGUGCUAAGCAACAAUGCUUUGACCAUUUCUACCAAGGGUCAGCAAAGCGUUCCUUAAAAGGCCAGAGAAAGUCCAUUUCAGCCCCGGUAAAGACUGUAUGACUUUAGGCCUUGCAGGCCACAUAGGAUAUUUGCUACAACUGUUCAAUUCUGCCAUUGUAGCACAAAAAUAGCAUUCAACAAUAUACACAAACAAUCAGGUAUUUUCUAAUAAAGCUUUAUUUAUAAAAACUGGUGAGUGAUCCACGGGCCAUAGUGGGCCAAUCCCUAGUUUACACAGAGGGAACAAUACACGAAGGUCUUUGGUCAGACAGGCUUAUGGGGCUGGAAGGACACUACCUAUAGAGGGAAGGCCAUUCCUCAACUGCCUUACCCUGGGCCCCACGAAUGCCUUACCCUUGUCCCAGGAGGCCACAUAUAUUUGGCAUCUCUUACAAACACAACUACCUAUGAAAAACACGGGAGCUCUCGGUUUGCUGAGAAUCUGGGAACUUGUCACGGCUAUUACUGAGUAAGUGUCCAUACCUGCUGGUAGGUCCAUUUCAGCCCCGGUAAAGACUAGAUGCCUUCAUUGGUUAUUGCUUUCAUACAUAUCACCUUCUUUCUUUCUCCCCUCUAAUUAUUGUUGUGUAGCAAAUUACCCCACAACUCAAUGGCUCACUCAUGCGGCUAGCAUGAGGCUGCUUGAAUGUCCUCACAACAUGGCAACUGGCUUACUCCACAGCCACCUAUCCUGGAGACCAAGGAAGAAGCUUCAGUGCCUCCAUGACCACGCUCUGGAAGUCACACAUUGUCAUAUCUACUGAUUCUAUUGUUCACACAGGUCAGCCCUGAUUCAAUGGGGGAGGAACUAUAAAAUAGUAAGAAUACCAGGAGACAAGGAUCGUCGGGGGCCAUCUUGGAGGCUGGGUAGAGUGAGUGGGUCCUGAGGUUAAUGCCACACUGGGGAUGGUCACUACAAAAGCUCACCCACUUAAGUUUGGUUGUUGUGGAGUGGGGGGCAAAUAGAAGGGACAUGAUCAUCUGUUCAAAUGUGUAUAAGUGACUUGUAUUUUUAGGCCCUGUCUCGAGGCACCAAGUUUCAGGUACCAAUGGUUGUGGGUUUUAGCUACAUUUGACCACACAUUUUCCUUGGGGUUCCAAUGCCACCAUCCUUGAUGAUCUGCCAUUUCUAGGAAUCUGCAGUAAAUGUUUCUCUUUCUGUUUUGGCUUCCCAGCAUCCAAAUACUUUCCUAGAGGAAUUUCCCAUGUGAGAGUCUUCGUAGGGUCAGGUUCCUGCCUGGCUCUUCAGCCUUUCUGUCAGUACCUGAUUUACCCUAUGACUCUCCAAUAAACCCCUUUGCUGUUUCUUUGUUUAUUUUUUAUUAUGUUAUGUUAGU